AACGGCCGUACCAUGCUAAAUAUACCGGUUUUCGUUAGAUCACCGAAGUCAAGCAUCAUUGGGCGCGGUCAGUACUUGGGUGGGUGACCACC
rnacentral:rRNA from 1 species